rnacentral:rRNA from 1 species
AUGUUCGAGUCCAUCGCCGCCGCCGGCGUAUCCUUACGUGCACCAAGAAUCAAACUUGGCCGCCUUAUGCCGGCCGGAACGAGGGCAUGGCAUGCAAUGUUCUUCGCUAUACUGCUCUCCCUGGCCGCCUAUUUCUCUGUGGUGUCGUGCAAGAUCGAGGAACCGACCAAGGUGAUCCAGAUGGAGCGGAUGCAGAUCGAUGCAAACCACGGAAAGGAACGAAGUGAUGGAUCGGUAGGCAUGGUCUCGAGGAGUCUUAGAUCGACCAUGGAGACGACAAUGAGUCAGAAAAUCAAGACCACGGGCGAGGAAGAGAAGGCGAUCGAGCGUGAUGUCCAACAACCGGAAGGGGCUGAUCAUCACCGAGGCGAAUUCUUGGACAAGGAGAACAUCCGGAGAAGCGACCAAGCUGAACCCCAAGAUAUGCAAGCAAGACCUACGUGGAAAACAUUGGAAUUCCCAAGUGACACCGUGCUACUGCUCCAGUGCUCCGGUGAUGAGCUCACAGUGCGUAUCCGGCCGCGUUUGGACGGCUUCGAGGAGUACUAUGUGCGCAUCGCCAGUGGCGACCUGUCAGACGUUUGUGCUAGACGUCUCGAGAGGCCAUCUAUGUAUGAUGCAGGCCCGCACUACCACGCACUGUUCUGGUCGCUCCCCGAGGAGGAAGGCCUGGUACCGGUGCCGCCGCCGGAGGUGGCCCAGACCACACUGAUAGAAGAGGAGACGCCGGAGAGAUUCACAUUCUCCACCGAUAUUGUGGUGGUCUACCGGCCAACGACCGAGCAGAAAAGGAAGAUUCACAUCCUGGCGCGCGAGGCGGUGGAGUUUCGACCUGCCGUUGGGGAGGAACUGGAGGCCGUUCGUGCUCUCGGUCCGGACUCUAUCAUCUUUUGGACGAAAACGCCGUAUACAACGUACAGAACUUUUGUUGCCAGUCAAUGA